rnacentral:rRNA from 1 species
UUGCCCUUUCCUUGCAAUACACAACGAGAAUACCCGGUGAUUCAAUACGCGGAUGAUACUAUUCUAGCUAUGCCUGCAUGUCCUGCACAAGCCAUGACCAUCAAAACUAUCCUCUCCGACUAUGCCACAUUGGUAGGUUUAAAGAUCAAUUUCCAUAAAUCUACUAUCAUACCCCUCAACUGUGGGCAGGAGGUCACAAACACAUUGGCAAAUAUUUUUGGCUGUGUUAUUGGCAAGCUACCAUUUACCUAUCUUGGCCUACCCAUGGGCACCACCAAACCAACUAUUUUGCACCUCAUGCCUCUAGGCUGCCGUGUGGAGAGACGACUUUCGGCCACCCUCAACAUGAUUACAUAUGGAGGAAAACUCACAUUGUUGAAUCCAGUCAUAACUUCUCUCAUCAUCUUCGCUCUUUGCACACUGAUACUCCUAGCAGGCAUCAUAGAACUUAUUGACAAAAUCCGCAGAAAGUGCCUCUGGACAAAGAAAACUGAUCAAGGUGAUAAGUGCAACUCCUUGGCAUCA